rnacentral:rRNA from 1 species
UACGUAGGGCGCAAGCGUUAUCCGGAAUUAUUGGGCGUAAAGAGCUCGUAGGCGGUUUGUCGCGUCUGCCGUGAAAGUCCAGGGCUCAACCCUGGGAUGCCGGUGGAUACUGUCGGACUAGAGUACGGAAGAGGCGAGUGGAAUUCCCGGUGUAGCGGUGAAAUGCGCAGAUAUCAGGAGGAACACCGGUGGCGAAGGCGGGUCUCUGGGCCGAUACUGACGCUGAGGAGCGAAAGCGUGGGGAGCGAACAGG